UACGUAAGUGGCGAGCGUUAUCCGGAAUUACUGGGCGUAAAGCGUGCGUAGGCGGUUUAGUGUGUGGGAAUUGAAAGCCCGGGGCUCAACUCCGGAUCCGGUUCCCAAACUGCUAGACUCGAGAGUAUCAGAGGAGAGCGGAAUUCCCGGUGUAGCGGUAAUAUGCGUAGAUAUCGGGAGGAACACCGGUGGCGAAGGCGGAUCUCUGGACCAGUUCUGACACUGAUGAGCGAAAGCCAGGGGAGCAAACAGG
rnacentral:rRNA from 1 species